GUUUGGCAAUAAGCUAUCUAAAUACCCUAAUGGUGCGAGAUCCCAUCUCAUCUUAGAAGCUAAACUGGAUCAGCACUUGUUAGUACUUGGAAGGGAGACCACCAAGGUAUACUAGAUGCGACAGGCU
rnacentral:rRNA from 11 species